UUUUUUGCCAGACUCUACUGCGCUUCCCUGGAACAAGUACUGAGGAGAUGCCUGGACAAGAGGUGGCAGUGGGUGCUGUGGAGGCACGGAGUGUGGCCAUCCGUGAAUAUGCCUCAGAUGCACUGCAAUGCCGUGCAGCUCCUGACGAGUGUGCUGCUCCAUGCGUUGCUCGUCUCGCGUGACUAAUACAGACCUUCCUGCCAUGGCCGCACGCCCCCUCACAAAACCUGCAGGUCACAGCGCUGCCUUUCUUCACUGAGCCAGAUUGAGGCUUAGAGCAUGAGUACAUCAUUGGCUUGCCAAGCAGAUUGGCUGGAAAAUAGACCAAAAAAGCUAAGACCUACUUCAGCUUUUUUGUCAGGUAGGAUUUGUCUUGUGCUUUGCUAUCAGUGACACUUUGCUUCUGUUUCUGAGCCCCUGUAUGAAUUUUUGCUCUUGAGUUAAGUCUGUACUUUGCUUCUGAGUUAUUGCAGAGCUGUGCCAUGAAUGCUGUGCAAUAAGGGGGAAAGCUGAGGAUGCCUGUGGUAUGGGGAGCAUCUUGAGUCAGUACAGGUGAGGUAUAUAGUGUCAUGCUUCCAGGGGUAAGGAGAGACUAAUUUUCCAGGGCUGUCCAAAUGUCAUCUUCUAUUUAUGGCAAAAUUAUCUAAAAUUAUCUAAAGCAAAUUGAUAUCGUCUCUUUAAGAAAGUGCUGAAGCCCAUCCUACACUAGGAAUGUGGAUCUUGUUUGAUUGAGAGCACUUGGAAAUGUAAUUAAGGAGCUCUGUUUAUUUGAAUGGAUUUAGUGGUCUUUACGUGUUAUAGAGGACAUUUAGGAUGUAUAUAUGGAUUUUUGGAAUCCCUUUAGGAAUUAAGAUUAAAAAAUGAAACACCGAUAAUGUGUCUGAUCUUCACAGUGCUAUUGAAGUAUUUCAGUUAAGCAUCUGUCCUUGUUACAGCUCUGUCAGCAGGCAGUAGCCCUCCACAUGGCAGUUUGCUUCUGGUAAGAGCAGUCAAAGGAACGACGUUAUUUCUAAUCUAAAAACUUGUAAUCAUGAAGGGCAGGAUAGCUAAAAGUGAGAGGCUGCUCACGAUGGUAGAGAGGGGAAUGGAUGGUCUAUAGAGAAUAUAUUCUGGAGAGUCUUGGUGCUCCUGAUGUAGUGCUGUUCUGUCACUGCAUGACCUCAUCUGCUUUCCAAGAAUGGUUUCAAAUGAGUUGAAACUGCAGACAGCAGACACCGAGACAAAUACACGUGGUGUCAUCUUCCUAUGCCAGUGACUGCUUUACAGUAACGUGUAGCUUUUCAGACUGCUCAGGUAAAUAUGUUUUUGUUUCAGUUGCAACUGUUAAGGUUACCGCAGAAAACUUGCUUGGAAGCAUUUCUGACAGGAGUGUAAUAAACUCAACGUUUUGGUUGAUGGCUUAAUAGGUUUUUCCUUUUCUUUGAAGCACUCAGGGCAACAAUGAAAUAGUGUUAAUGCUCUACUUAAAAAGCACUUAGCAAGAUAAAUGGUGUCAUGGUAUCUCUUUUCCUGCUGUGUUCUCUCGCUUAUUGCAGUAGUAUGCUUAUGCCAAGAUGAUGACUGUCUAGCAGCUUUUCAUGCUUGUCCAUGUGCAUCUCAGUUAUUUGCUAUAUGUCUUGCAAAAUGGUUUUAAGUGACAUGAGUUCCAGAGCAAGCGAUUGCUGCACACCUUUCAAGUUCUUUUGGUCACAAAGUGUGUUCAAGUGAAAAGGAAGCAGGCCUGCUCAGACACUUCUUGCACAGCCAGUAGAAGACAGCCCUAAGAUGUUUCAGCACUGGUGUGAGCCCCACUGCUCCAUCUACUUCACCAUCUCUUGUUAUAGACACCAGUCGUGUGUUCACCAUGCACUUGCUGAAAUAUGGAGCUGCACAGAAUCAUAAGGAUCAAGACAACUGAAGAGCGAGGUGCCUUAUGUCCUCUGGUGGACAGUAAAGGGGGAAGAUGGUAUAUCAUGCCUUUUUUGCCAAAGGAUUUGACAGCUUGGAAUAACUUACUUCCCAGUUAAUGUCAAUGACCUUUGAACGAACAGGUGUAGUUGAAGGGAAAGAUGGUGCCCUGCACUGCAGGCAGUGUAAUGUGGACUCCAUGGCCUUAACUGAGACCCCUCACAGAGUCACCAAUGUCCCAGAGAAAUCCCGAUGACCCUCUCUAUGGUGACUGGCACAAAGACAGCCCUGAAGAAGCAGCUUUUGUCUGUGUCUGAGGUGUGUUCCUGAGAACCUGACUGUGAUGGAGACUUUGGAGUUGUACCUGAAAAAACUAUGUUUCUUAGCAUAGAGAGUAGCAGUGUCCACCAUCAGGAAGGAAGCAGUAAGAUGAAUCUUUAUGAUGCCUAGUAUGUUCCAAGGAGUGUAGAUUCCUUUGAAGUCUUUGUGCACCUCUGAUAUAACUUGAGGGCUUCAGGUGGAAUAGCAGAUAAAAGUCCAGUGUUCUUAGAAAACAUUUGAGUAUUGGCUUCAAAACCUGUCUGCUUAUUGCAAUCUACAAAGUCAAGACAAUUUAAUUAAAAGGGCCAACAAGAAAAUCAUGAUUUCUCCGACCUUUCUGUGAAACAUGACACACCAACUAAUUGAAAUGGAAGAAGUGUUUUUCCUCAUUGUGCAGUCUUUUAAUUAUAUGAUUUACUAUGAAGAUUCUUGAAUGAAAAAGUCAGUGUUUUCUUUACGAGGCAUUGUUGGCAUAGCUCUCUGGUGGUAUGGUAAGAAAUGCGCUUCUGGCCAAAAGCUCUCACAAUAGCUGCUGCUUCUUCAUUUGUUGCACUUACUUGGUUGUAGUAAUGUUAAAAUAAUGAGGAAAAAAAAAUAACCUGAAUGUUGGCAUGAAACUCUUUCUCCACUAAGUGUUUCUGUUUAUUCUAAAGCCUUACAAGAGAACAGUUGGAACACUACUGCAAGCAUGCUUUG